UGCAAGUCGAGCGAAUGGAUUAAGAGCUUGCUCUUAUGAAGUUAGCGGCGGACGGGUGAGUAACACGUGGGUAACCUGCCCAUAAGACUGGGAUAACUCCGGGAAACCGGGGCUAAUACCGGAUAACAUUUUGAACCGCAUGGUUCGAAAUUGAAAGGCGGCUUCGGCUGUCACUUAUGGAUGGACCCGCGUCGCAUUAGCUAGUUGGUGAGGUAACGGCUCACCAAGGCAACGAUGCGUAGCCGACCUGAGAGGGUGAUCGGCCACACUGGGACUGAGACACGGCCCAGACUCCUACGGGAGGCAGCAGUAGGGAAUCUUCCGCAAUGGACGAAAGUCUGACGGAGCAACGCCGCGUGAGUGAUGAAGGCUUUCGGGUCGUAAAACUCUGUUGUUAGGGAAGAACAAGUGCUAGUUGAAUAAGCUGGCACCUUGACGGUACCUAACCAGAAAGCCACGGCUAACUACGUGCCAGCAGCCGCGGUAAUACGUAGGUGGCAAGCGUUAUCCGGAAUUAUUGGGCGUAAAGCGCGCGCAGGUGGUUUCUUAAGUCUGAUGUGAAAGCCCACGGCUCAACCGUGGAGGGUCAUUGGAAACUGGGAGACUUGAGUGCAGAAGAGGAAAGUGGAAUUCCAUGUGUAGCGGUGAAAUGCGUAGAGAUAUGGAGGAACACCAGUGGCGAAGGCGACUUUCUGGUCUGUAACUGACACUGAGGCGCGAAAGCGUG
rnacentral:rRNA from 2 species